rnacentral:misc_RNA from 1 species
AAGGAGCACCAUGAUUCCCCCGUACCUCACAUGGGUGAGGGUGAUGCGGUUGGGAGAGUUUGUGCCGGCGCCUGUAGUGGGUGGUCGGUGGUGCAGAGGAAUUACGAACAACAACAAGUGAAGACACCAACCGCCAGCAGCCUUGUGCUUCUGGUGGCCGGCUUUCGGGUUGGGCACACUGUUGGGUCCUGAGGCAACAGGCCCGUUGUUUGCUCCCCUGGUGGGG